rnacentral:lncRNA from 1 species
CCCAUCAUGAGUAGUUUAGACUGUGGCAACUGUUGGCUCAAGGGGCUGAAACUGGAUUAGGAGGGAUCUCCUUCCAGCAACCCUACCUUAUAUUUAUCCAGUGGAAAAGUGUGGGCAUAUUUUUCUCAGUAACUGGUGUCGCCCCCUCUAUGUGUUGGAGCCUUGCUUGGCCAGGCCCACAUGCCUACUCUAGAGCACCUUACCUCAGAGCCAGCGAGAUCUGAAUACUCCUUGCUCUUGGAGCCAUAAACAGUCCAACAUCAUCUAAAAUACCUUAAUGGAAUCAGGAAUCAAGGUGCUAUUAUCAGAAGGAUCUACGAAUACCAAAGCAAUACAUAUGUUGGUGAAAGCAUUCUAUUAGUAAAGGCAAUGGCCAGUCACAAGCUAAAAAUAAAAACAAGCAUAUACACAGUUUUACUCUAAACAUAUAAUUUUUCAAAGUGCAGCUAGAGAGAUAGAUCUUUAAAUGCACUGGCUGUUCUUCCAGAGGCACCAACAUAACAGUUCACAACCUUAUAAUUCCAGUCCCAGAGGAUGUGACCUUUCUUCUGGCCCCCUCAAGCACCAGACACUCACAUGGUGCACAGACAUAUGUGCAAGCAAAACUCCCAUAGACAUAGAAGAGAUAAAAUUUUAAAUUCAGUAAAUACAAGUUUGAAACUAAUUCUCAUGCUAUUUCUCCGAUGGGAAAGGGGCAGGUAGUAUGUGGGUAAGCAGAUAGAAGAAUGCAACAUGUCCAUACAAAUGGUACCAAAUAAUGUCACAUUAAAAUCUCAGACACCCAGAAUCCUUUGCUGUGUCCACAGCUAAGAGCAAUGAAUCUUAUAGACUAUGAGCUUUGUCAGACUCGUAGUUCCGCGAAGGCAAGGAAAGAACGUGUCUAAUUUACCAUUUGACCAGCACCUCAGUAACGAAGUUAGUGAUGAAGGCUUUGUCUCUGGCAGCGUUUCCCUUGACAUCUUAAAUGCAGCAAUGCCCUGACCUCAAAGGAAAGACUCAGCCCACAAGAUGUACUGCACAAGUGAUGCUAAGCAGGGAGAGCAUGCUAAAGUAGUUCAAAUACGUGUGCUUCAAAGCCGCCAUGGGUUUUGAUCAAGUUACAAGGUAUAAAUGAAAACAUUAUAGAAAAAUUGUUGUGAUUUGGUUGAGGAUCAGUUUUACAUAUAGGUCCUAUCUCCAAAUUGAUUUAAACUGAUCCCCGUCAGCGCCAUCUGAGGUCUACAGACUGUUCUGCUACCCAGUAGGAAGAGAGAAGACAAAAUAAGACAGGUUAUUUUCUAGCAGGUAUUUACUACAUGGAGAAGUAUAGGCUGGUGGAAAGCAGCAAUAGUGCUCAAAGCAGAAACUCUACGCACAGUAGACGGAUCUCUAGCAAGCUUGUUUCUCUGAUACAGUUCCGGCCGUCACACAGCGAGCCAGGGAGGCUACCACUCUGACAGCAGCACAAACUUCCCGGCUUUUCUUCCUCCCUCUAUCCUAUAACUGCUCCUCGUGAGUCCAAGUGGAUAUGGCAUCCGAGUGGCCCUGCCUGGGCAAUGGACAGUCUAUUUUCUUCUAUGAGUCAGCUGAGACAAACUUGCAAGCCUUAAAACUGAGAUAUGUACUAAUCAGAUAAAUAAAACUUGUAUUUUGAAAUCAGAA